UACGACGUGUUUCAACUGGCUCGUCCACUAGUGAACAAAGGAGGACGUGAUUUUGCGUCGUAAGGGGCUUUUGUUGUUUGUUUCGAGCAGCGGCUGCAGUCUCGCGUCCGGUCAGGCCAUGAAAGAACAAAGGAGGAUAUCAUUCUGCGUCGUAUGGGUUUUUGUUGUUUGCUUCGAGCACCGGCUACAGUCUUGCGUCCCGUUCAGGUAAGUGUACAAGUAUCAGUUCGUCGCCGUUGUUGAUUCUGCUAAUUUCAUUCUCGUUUUUGAAGGCCUUACUUUGUUGAACAGUAAGCUGGGUGAACCAACUUUGUUGUUGCUAUGGCCAUUUUACUGAGUUUUACUCUCUUGCGUUUGAACAUUACUAAUUUGCAAUUGCACGCCCUAUUUCAGACACAUUUCUCUCCAACGCUUCGAGACGUCGCUUUCGCCGAAAUUCAAUGAAUAUUGAAGUCCAGCGUUUAGUGUUUCAUCGUGGGUCGCCCGAAGGACAGCAGAUCAUUGACUGUCAAUUGUGCGAGUGGCACGAUGCAUGUGUACGUGUGAAAUACUUUACUACUGUGUGCCCAGGAUGUAUUGUAUGAUUGUGUUGGUACUGGAUACUUCUCUCAAGGUAUGCAUUU